CCCUUAGAUGUUCUGGGCCGCACGCGCGCUACACUGUUCGACGCAGCGAGUCUUAACCUUGACCGAAAGGUUUGGGUAAUCUUCAGCAAAGUCGAACAUGAUGGGGAUCGAUCAUUGCAAUUAUUGAUCGUGAACGAGGAAUUCCUAGUAAGUGCAAGUCAUCAGCUUGCGCUGAUUACGUCCCUGCCCUUUGUACACACCGCCCGUCGCUACUACCGAUUGAAUGGUUUAGUGAGAUCUCUGGAUUGACGCUGGCUAGGGGGCGACCCUUGGCCAGGCUGUCGAGAAACUGCUCAAACUUGAUCAUUUAGAGGAAGUAAAAGUCGUAACA
rnacentral:rRNA from 1 species